rnacentral:rRNA from 1 species
GAUGAACGCUGGCGGCGUGCUUAACACAUGCGAGUCGAACGAAGCACUUUAUUUGAUUUCCUUCGGGACUGAUUAUUUUGUGACUGAGUGGCGGACGGGUGAGUAACGCGUGGGUAACCUGCCUUGUACAGGGGGAUAACAGUUGGAAACGGCUGCUAAUACCGCAUAAGCGCACAGCAUCGCAUGAUGCAGUGUGAAAAACUCCGGUGGUAUAAGAUGGACCCGCGUUGGAUUAGCUAGUUGGUGAGGUAACGGCCCACCAAGGCGACGAUCCAUAGCCGACCUGAGAGGGUGACCGGCCACAGUGGGACUGAGACACGGCCCAAACUCCUACGGGAGGCAGCAGUGGGGAAUAUUGCACAAUGGGCGAAAGCCUGAUGCAGCGACGCCGCGUGAGCGAAGAAGUAUUUCGGGAUGUAAAGCUCUAUCAGCAGGGAAGAUAAUGACGGUACCUGACUAAGAAGCACCGGCUAAAUACGUG